AUGCAUCCAUCCUGUAGUUGUCAAGAUGAAUCUGCUGUAGCCAUUACUUUGUUGGUAAAACUGGGAGGCUUUAAGAAAACACUGUCAAGUGAUUAUGAAAAAAAAAAUGUAUUCGACUGUUCUGCCCCUGCCAGGCUUGUGAGCACAACAGUUGGAGAAGAAACAAAGUGGAGACAGGAGCUGCCAAGCGAUGCCUGCUGCGAGCGGGAGGCCUUUUCUGGAUUGCUAACAACAGGGACCACGAUCAGGAAACUGGUCACUAAGCCUGUGCCUGCGUCCAGGAUGCGGCAGCCUCCUGCUUGGAUUUUGAACAGCAAUGUUAUACCUAGGCUCCAGUUUCUCCCUCCUGCUUUUCGCAGAGGUUCUAUGCUCACAGGAAAUGAGAGCAGAAAUCCAGUGAGGAGGACAGAUGCCUCAGAUACAGAGGAACUUGAGUUAAUGGCUCAGUGGCCAGACAUACUCAUUGGACCUCCCUAGCCAACUGAAGCCUGCCAGAUGCCAUAGAUAAGUCAGCAUCCUACACCAGGAUGCCUCUGCACCUGCGUGGGAGGUGGGAGACCUAGAAGAAGCUCUUGGCUCCUGGCUUCCAAUAGAAACCCCCCACCCCGCCUGCCUCUCCUCUCUCUGUGUAACUCUGACUUUCAAAUAAAUAAACCUUUAAAAAAUGAAAUAAGUAUUUA
rnacentral:lncRNA from 1 species